rnacentral:rRNA from 1 species
AUUGGAACGCUGGCGGCAGGCCUAACACAUGCAAGUCGAGCGGAUGAACGGGAGCUUGCUCCCUGAUUCAGCGGCGGACGGGUGAGUAAUGCCUAGCAAUCUGCCUGGUAGUGGGGGACAACGUACCGAAAGGAGCGCUAAUACCGCAUACGUCCUACGGGAGAAAGUGGGGGAUCUCGGACCUCACGCUAUCAGAUGAGCCUAGGUCGGAUUUAGUAGUAGGGUGGGGAAUGGCUCACCUUGGCGACGAUCCGUAACUGGUCUGAGAGGAUGAUCAGUCCCACUGGGAACUGAGACACGGUCCCAGAUCCUGCGGGAGGCAGYAGUGGGGAAUAUUGGACAAUGGGCGAAAGCCUGAUCCAGCCAUGCCGAGUGUGUGAAGAAGGUCUUCGGYUUGUAAAGCACUUUAAGUUGGGAAGAAGGGCAGUAAGUUAUACCUUGCUGUUUGACGUUACCAC